rnacentral:tRNA from 3 species
GGGUCGUUAGCUCAGUCGGUAGAGCAGUUGGCUUUUAACCAAUUGGUCGCAGGUUCGAAUCCCGCACGACCCACCA